CUGAGACUUCACAAAACGCACAACACCAAAUAACAUUUCCAGCUGUAGAUGUGCUGGCUGAAAAAACCCCCAAAACAAAAAACUUUACAUAAAGAGGAGGAUCACAAAAUGCACAGAUGCACUUGUAGGGAUGCUCCACCAACCCUGGUUCCAGUGCCAGAUGACCUGGAUGGUGUCAUAAGCAAAUAUUCUGACAUCCAGUGAUGGGGGAUCAUGUCCUGAAGACUUUAUUGCAUCUUCUUCACAAUUUUUUCAAAAAUAACUUUCCUGAAAUCUAAGGUUCCCAUCACUUCUACUGCCAGCAUUAGAUCUCAUUGUUGAUCAGAAUUAAGUACCAAUAGCAUUUGCCCUCUGCCUUUUGAGCAGUAGAACUACCAGCAUGGCAUGUCAAGAAACUUUGGAUGCUCUACCUUUAGUAGAACAAGGCUUCCAGCAGCUGUAUUGAAGCUACUUUAUCUUGCCUCCGCACCCAUUUUGUGAUUCAUUGGUAAUUUACUUUCUAUCUCAAAACUCUGAAGAGGGCUUCUAAAACAGCAUCGAUACCUUCUUUUUUUAAAGCCAGGUCAUAUACAGUGUUUCCCUGAAAAUAAGACCUACCCCGAAAAUA